rnacentral:lncRNA from 10 species
CAGUGUGCACAUCUAACAUGCUGGCAGAUGACUCCAAUGUGCUGGGAGGCCUCAGGACCAUUUCCCUCCAGAAACUCAUCUACAUGGGCUCCAGGAGACAUGCACUGAAUAUUUACAGCUCAAAUUUAGAAGCAACCAAAAAAGCCUUCAACAGAAGAAUAGGUACAUAAAUUGUGAUAUAUGCAAACAAUAGAAUAUUAUGCAGUGGUGAAAUUGAGUCACCACCCUCAGAGUAUGUGUAUCUCACCAAUAAUGCUGACAAAGAGACAGGUGGCAGAAAAAUACGUGACACCAUCUAUAUAGAGAUUUCACAAACAUGCAAGAAUGUUAUAUAUUAAAAUAUAUUUUAUGCAGCAAGAGAAUUCAGAAACAGGAAGGAUAACAAAACAACAGACUC